UACGAAGGGGGCUAGCGUUGCUCGGAAUCACUGGGCGUAAAGGGUGCGUAGGCGGGUCUUUAAGUCAGGGGUGAAAUCCUGGAGCUCAACUCCAGAACUGCCUUUGAUACUGAGGAUCUUGAGUUCGGGAGAGGUGAGUGGAACUGCGAGUGUAGAGGUGAAAUUCGUAGAUACUCGCAAGAACACCAGUGGCGAAGGCGGCUCACUGGAUCGGUACUGACGCUGAGGUGCGAAAGCGUGGGGAGCAAACAGG
rnacentral:rRNA from 1 species